rnacentral:rRNA from 1 species
GGUGUCGUAGCCGUGAUUUGUCGUGAUCAUAACGACCUAUACUUGGGAUCAUCUGCCGUGGUGUUCAGUGGUACUACGGAUCCCACGGUUCUUGAAGCUUAUACGUGCCGCAAAUCACUAGCAUUGGCGGAAGAUCUCAGACUACAGAGGAUAUGUAUUGCGUCGGACUGCCAAGGGAUCGUCAACGACAUUGAUCAGGGCACUGGAGGCCCUCAUGGUGCAAUCAUACAUGAAAUAACAGAAAGAAAGGGUAGUUUUCAGUUAUGUAAUUUCAUUUUUUAACGUGGGAACUCCUUAGAAGCUCACAAUCUCGCCAAGUAUGCUUGUAAUUUAGGUGUGGGCCGAUAUUUUUUGUUGGGUAAUCCUCAUGACCCAAUUCUUGUACUUAUGAACAUUAUUCUGAAUCAAUAA